GGCUCCCUGGCGCAAUGGUAGCGCGUUUGGCUUCGAUUGCCUACGGCACCAAAAGGUUGCAGGUUCGAGUCCUGCGGUGGUCA